rnacentral:lncRNA from 1 species
CUCCUCCCAGUUCCGGAGAGACUCCUCCCAGUUCUGGAGAGACUCCUCCUCAUUCCAGAGAGACUCCUCCCAGCUCCGGAGAGACUCCUCCCAGCUCCAGAGAGACUCCUCCCAGCUCCGGAGAGACACCUCCCAGUUCCAGAGAGACUCCUCCCAGCUCCAGGAACGUGUCUGAACGUGGUUGGCUUGUUUUCCUCUGGCCACUGCCAGGACCCUGGGCGAAGGUUUGGCCAGCAGUGGAAGACAUAGCACAGUGGCCCCAGCAGACUCCACGGUCAGCACAGAGCUCCUGCCCGGGGUCAGCCUGAGGCCCACCCUCCUCUGGCAGCUGUCGCUGGACCUGCUGCUUCAGACCACUGUACUCCAAGCUCCUGGUUUUACUGCCAAAUGUGCAGCACCAAGACAGCUUGAAAUACUCUUUCACUGGUCUUGAUGAGAAUUCACCCUUCUUGAAGUGAAUUCCUUCUCUUUCUUUUCACGUGGUAGGUCCAAUGUCUCCUCCUCAGAGUGGCCUUCUCUGAAUCCUCUUUAUUUCUGUCCCUCACAGGGAAAGCCCUGUUUAUUUUGUGUCUCCACCACCCAUACAGAGAAGAAAGGUCUUGAGAGGGGUGUUUGGUAGGGCCUCUCUGACCACAGCAUCCUCAGAGCCCCUGAACUAGAGCUGGCCCAGGAAGGACCAAACCAGAAAUCUACUUUUUCUUCUUUGUUAUUUCUUUAUUUAAUAUUAAUUGCAAACAAAUUUGUAAUUACAAGCAUGCUAAAAAAUCUUUUAUUAAGAGGCACAUACACACUUUGCAGCUUCCAGGUGUCUGAGUUUAUUGGUUACAUUUUUCAAAAGGCCAUCACACGACCCUGGAGAGAAGCCCCCAGCUGCCGAGCAGCAGUAGGAGGAGGGCGAGGCCACAGGACGGCACGCGGGAGGCGCCAGCCGCAGAGAACACGCACAAGCCUGACGGCUGGAGCAGCACCACGUGCAUUUCCUUAAAGAACGGAGGUGCAGAUCCGGGCAGGGCGAGCUCAGGGUUGGUUAGUUCAGGAGCUCUGCGCGUCUCAGGCAGCCAGGACCCUGGGUCGAGAGAGGCUGCGAUGGUCCCACCGUCACAUUCAGAUCUGACCAUGGCCAGUGGAAGAGGAAGAGAUGUGUCCUCUUGGGCUGUUUUCUCAGGGACUAGCAAACUUUGCUCGGGC